GCUUAGGGCUCUCUCCCAGGACAGCAUGCCCGUUUGAACUUUUGAAAGCUAAGCAGGGCAGAGCCUGGUCAGUACCUGGAUGGAAGACCACAUGGGAAAAACUAGGUUGCUGUUGGAA
ensembl:rRNA 5S_rRNA 5S ribosomal RNA